rnacentral:rRNA from 1 species
CGUUGAUCCUGCGGGAGGUUGCUGCUAUUAGAGUUCGACUAAGCCAUGCAUGUCGGGUGUUCUUGUAAUGCCGGCAAACUGCUCAGUAACACGUCAAUAAUCUAACCUUAGGUCUAGAAUAACUUCGGGAAACUGAAGCUAAUACUGGAUAUGGGAUUAUUUCUGGAAUGAAUUUUCCUUGAAAGAUUACGCCUAAGGAUGUGUUGGCGGCCGAUUAGGUUGUUGGUGGUGUAAUGGACCACCAAGCCGAAGAUCGGUAGGAGCCUUGAGAGAGGUAGCUCCGAGAAGGGCACUGAGAUACAGGCCCUAGCCCUACGGGGUGCAGCAGGCGCGAAACCUUUACAAUGUACGAAAGUAUGAUAAGGGAACUCUGAGUGCUUAUGCUUUGCAUAGGCUUUUGCCAAAAGUAAAAACUUUGGCGAAUAAGUGGUGGGAAAGACUGGUGCCAGCCGCCGCGGUAACACCAGCGCCACAAGUGGACCGUUUUUAUUGGGCCUAAAGCGUCCGUAGCCGAUUUAGUAAAUCUUCUGUGAAAUUGUUGUGCUUAACACAACAAAGUGCAGGAGACACUGCUGAGAUUGGAACUGGGGGGGGUCAGAAGUAUUUCUGGGGGAGCGGUAAAAUGCUAUAAUCCUAGAAGGACUACCUGUGGCGAAAGCGUCUGACCAACACAGAUUCGACGGUGAGGGACGAAAGCCAGGGGAGCAAUCCGGAUUAGAUACCCGAGUAGUCCUGGCCAUAAACUCUGCGAGCUAGGUGUCCCAUAAUCUUCGUGAUUAUGUGGUGUCGUAGUGAAGACGUUAAGCUCGCCGCCUGGGAAGUAUAGUCGCAAGACCGAAACUUAAAGGAAUUGGCGGGGGAGCACUACAAGGGGUGCGGCGUGCGGUUUAAUCUAAUUCAACGCAGAGAAUCUCACCAGAAGCGACGGCAGGAUGAAAGUCAGUCUAAAGGGCUUACUUGACGAGCCGAGAGGUAGCGCAUGGCCGCCGUCAGCUCAUGCCGUAAGGUGUCCUGUUAAGUCAGGCAACGAGCGAGACCUGUACCUACAAUUGCUAGCAACUAGAAAUAGGAUUGAGCACAUUGUGGGAACUGCCCUCGAAAGGGGGAGGAAGGUGCAGGCUACGGUAGGUCUGUAUGCUCCGAAUCUUCUGGGCUACACGCGCGCAACAAUGGUAAGUACAAUGGGAUGCAACUCCGAAAGGAGAAGCUAAUCCUCGAAACCUUAUCUCAGUUCAGAUCGAGGCUUGCAACUCAGCCUCGUAACGCUGGAAUCCCUAGUAAUCAGACGUCAUCAUCGUCCGGUGAAUAUGUCCCUGCUCCUUGCACACACCGCCCGUCAAACCACCUGAGUAGGGUUUAGAUGAGGCUUAAUUUUCAAUUAAGUCGAAUCUAAGCUUUGCGAGGAGGGUUAAGUCGUCACAAGGUA